UACGUAGGGUGCGAGCGUUAAUCGGAAUUACUGGGCGUAAAGCGUGCGCAGGCGGCGCGUUAAGACAGGUGUGAAAGCCCCGAGCUUAACUUGGGAAUUGCGCUUGUGACUGGCGAGCUGGAGUGUGGCAGAGGGAGGUGGAAUUCCACGUGUAGCAGUGAAAUGCGUAGAGAUGUGGAGGAACACCGAUGGCGAAGGCAGCCUCCUGGGCCAGCACUGACGCUCAGGCACGAAAGCGUGGGGAGCAAACAGG
rnacentral:rRNA from 1 species